GGGCGAGUGGCGGAACUGGUAGACGCGGUGGCCUCAAAAGCCAUUGAAUUUCGAUUCGUAAGGGUUCAAGUCCCUUUUCGCCCA
rnacentral:tRNA from 3 species